UACGAAGGGGGCUAGCGUUGCUCGGAAUUACUGGGCGUAAAGCGCACGUAGGCGGUCUUUUAAGUCGGUGGUGAAAUCCUGGAGCUCAACUCCAGAACUGCCUUCGAUACUGGAAGACUUGAGUCCGGGAGAGGUGAGUGGAACUGCGAGUGUAGAGGUGAAAUUCGUAGAUAUUCGCAAGAACACCAGUGGCGAAGGCGGCUCACUGGCCCGGUACUGACGCUGAGGCGCGAAAGGGUGGGGAGCAAACAGG
rnacentral:rRNA from 1 species